UGAGGAAUAUUGGUCAAUGGUCGGGAGACUGAACCAGCCAAGCCGCGUGAGGGAGGAAGGUACAGAGUAUCGUAAACCUCUUUUGUCAGGGAACAAAGGCGGGGACGUGUCCCCGGAUGAGUGUACCUGAAGAAAAAGCAUCGGCUAACUCCGUGCCAGCAGCCGCGGUAAUACGGAGGAUGCGAGCGUUAUCCGGAUUUAUUGGGUUUAAAGGGUGCGCAGGCGGUCUGUUAAGUCAGCGGUCAAAGCCCGGGGCUCAACCCCGGCCCGCCGUUGAAACUGGCAGUCUCGAGUUGGAGAGAAGUAUGCGGAAUGCGCGGUGUAGCGGUGAAAUGCAUAGAUAUCGCGCAGAACUCCGAUUGCGAAGGCAGCAUGCCGGCUCCACACUGACGCUGGGGCACGAAAGCGUGGGUAUCGAACAGG
rnacentral:rRNA from 1 species